AGAUGAAUAGUUUCUCAACAUUAAGGAACUGUGAGGAUGUUGGGCUAGGGCCUGUGUGGCUGUGCCACCAGCAAUCUUUCAACACUGAAAAGGACAAAGAAAAUCCAUUACUCUGUUACAAGAAGAAAGAAUUUCUAUGGCAAAAAGGAUGAUGAGAAGAAUGGCUAAUGGGUUUACAGGAACUCUUAACACAAAGCUGGGUGUUCAGAUACCAAGAGUUUGUAAAAAAAAAAAGAAAAAAAUACGCAAUCCAAGGCAAGCAGUCAAGGACCACAAGACAAUGUGUGUAUGAGACUUCCGGACCUCUCCAUGACCUUUGCUGCAUGCAUGAGGAGAAACGGCCUGCUAGAACAGAUCUGCAAAGGAUUGCUCUGCCUGAGGCUGCCUGAGCUUACAACUGCAGUCUGAAGGGAUAAGGAACUUGAAAGGUGUCAGGCCACCACAAUAACAUGCACUGUUUGUGAAAUGGGAAUAAAUCCCAUCUGAGUCUAAGGACUGUGGACAGAUACCAUGUCUGUCCACAUAACUUGUUUCAGACUCUUCCCCUGCUCACUUCCUUCUGAGUGGCCUCUCCCGUGCAAGUGUGGAGGCUAAAGAAG
rnacentral:lncRNA from 1 species